UAAUACAGGGGGUGCAAGCGUUGUUCGGAAUUACUGGGCGUAAAGGGAGCGUAGGCGGGAUUACAAGACAGGGGUUAAAUCUCCGGGCUCAACCUGGAACUUGCCUUUGUGACUGUAGUCCUUGAAUAUGGUAGAGGUCAGUGGAAUUUCCGGUGUAGCGGUGGAAUGCGUAGAGAUCGGAAAGAACACCAGAGGCGAAGGCGACUGACUGGACCAAUAUUGACGCUGAGGCUCGAAAGCGUGGGGAGCAAACAGG
rnacentral:rRNA from 1 species